AAGACAGGAUAGUUCGAACAGAGGCUGCCAGGCAGCUGGAAAGCAGUCAUUUGGGGUACAGGGGGACAGGCCAUUUGUGCUGGGGUUGGUGGGAACCAGCUUAUUCUGUCUACAGUUAUGUCUCUGUACCUGUUAUUCACAGCUGAGCAGUUGAGUCUGCUAUGCUUAUGUUGUUUCUUUUUCAGGGUUUUUUUCCCAGCACUGGAGAUCGAACCCAAGUCCCCACCCUCAAGGCAAGCGCUCUACCACUGGGCUGCAGCCCAGCCUGCAGCCACUGUCAUCUCUCAUCCGUGUUGAAUGUCCUGUUUCCUGGAGCACAUGUCUUUAUUUCUUGCCUCAUUUUCUUGUUUUGGUGCACCACAUGCUCUUGCCGGCGUCGUGAAAGGCUUCAUAGGUAGGAAGUAAAAGCCUUGAACUGAAGAAGCAUUGAGUGAAUUCGCAAUCUGGCUAAUUUACAGGUUGCUGGUCAUAAAUAAUCCAAAAGCCUCUCUCCUCUGUUGCAGCCUAGGCGUGAGAGGCACCAGGCCAUUCCGAGGGCUGGGUCUUUGGGUGGGAUUUACCUUCUCUCUGCAAGGUAUUAGGAUCCUGUUUCCUGGAUGAUGUGAAGCAUCAUAAUGAGGUCUUCCGUGGAACUUUUACAUCCAUGGGGGGGUGUACGCAGUGGACCCUCCAUUCCAGAGACUGCACCAGUGGGAGUCUGGGAUUGACAGCAGGUGUAUGAUACAGGGGUGAUAUAAGGACCCCCAAAUAAUAUAAGGGAAAUACUAUAACUCCCAACCUGCUAGAUGUCCGAUAUGCCAACUUCCUGUUCUCUAAGAUUUUAGAAUUGAAUUCUAGGAACAAUGGAGGUUAGGAGUAGGAAGUAUUAAUCCCACCACUUGGGAGGCUGAGGCAAGAGUACUGCCGAAAGUUUGAGGCCAGCCUGGGCUACACAGUGAGUUCAAAACCAGCCCGGACUAGAUUGAGACCCUGUCUCCAAAAAAAAAGUAGGAAGUAUUGAGAGAAAGAUAGCUUCUAAGACAGAAGGGGGCUGGAAAGUGGGUUACCCUUCAGCCCCCCUUCUCAAGGAAGUUUUAUAGAGCAAAACCACGAGGUGGAGGAGGUAUAAGGUGGGACAAAACUACAGUCAACUAAUAAGAUUACAAGUAUAGUCCUGCACAGAACACAAGGAUUUUCUGGGAAGGAAUGGGGUAGGGAGGUUUUGGUCCCCACCCAAGGUGAUUGAUACCAAUUUAGAAUAUCAAUCACUGCUAUUCAUCUCCAGAGGAAUAUGUGGGUGGAGUCAUUUCUCCUUGUCUGGGAGCAUCAUUUUCUUUUUUUUUUAGGACCCGAGUUCGAUCUCCGGUACCAAAAAAAAGAUGUAAAUAAAAAAUCUCCUCGUGCCUAUUUUCCAGUUUGGAAGGGGGUUAAAAGAUAUUUCCUUAAUUUUCCAACCUUUUGGUUGAAGGUAAUAGUGUACUUUUAAGAUAUUUUAGCUAGGUGUAGUGCCACAAACCUGUAAUUCUGGCACUCUGGGAGGCUGAGGCAGGAGGAUUCCAAAUUCAAGUCCAGCCUUGGCAAUUUAGUGAGACCCUGUCUCUCAAAGUCUGUUAUGGGUAGGUCUAAAAUAAUCCCCAAAAGUCUCAUGUGUUUGAAAGGUGAUUAGGUCAUGGGGAGGAUGAAUGUGCUGUGGGGAUGAGGCCUGUGGUCAGAGGAGGUGGGGACGGGGGCGUGCCCGGCAACAGUGUGUCUUGUGUUUGGAUUCUCCCUUCCUUUUUGUUUCCUGGCUGCUGCCAGGCCACAAACACCUUUCCUCCAUCCUGUCUCUCUGCCAUGCUAUUUCUGCCUUGGAGCCAGCCAACUAUGGACUGAAAUUGUGAGGCAAAAUAAAUCUCGCCUCCUUUAAGCUGUGGUAGUCAAGUCUCAGGUUGGUGACAAGAAAGUGAUCAAUAAGAACACUGGUCUACAGGAGUGGGUGGGGCUGUGACUAUUAGCUGACCAUGUGGUUCAGAAGCCUUUGGAGUACAUGUGUGGGAGGAGUUUGGAAAGGUUUGGAGAUACCUUGGAGUGCUAUGAACUCAGCCUGAUAAUGGAUUCUGGUUGAAUCUCAGAAGGCCAGAAUGCUGAUAAGAAUGCAGGCAGUAAAGGUCAGGCUCAGGAGGUUUCAGAUGGGAAUGAGGUCUGUAUUGGAAACUGGGCAACAGGCCCUGUGUGUUACAGUCUGGCAAGGAACUUACCCACAUUUUCCCCAUGCCCUAAGACUUUGUGAGAAGCUCAAUGCAGUUUGUUUUUGUUUUUGUUUUGAGAGAGUCUCACUAUGCAGUGCAGAGUGGCCUUGAAUUCACUAUGUAGCCCAGGCUGGCCUCAAACUUGCAGUGAUCCUCCUGCCUCAGCCUUUCAAGUGCUGGAAUUAUAGGUAUGCACCACAAUGCCCAGAUGGGAGCCCUAAUUUAAAGAUAGCAGACUUAAAUCUAGUGGAGAAAAUUUCAAGUCAGCCCAACAUUCAGGCUGUGGCAUAGAUACUGCUAACUGUAGUUAGCCAGAUCUACAGUGGGAAGUGGGAGCAAAACGCCAAGUUGAUCAGGAGGCUGAGGCAGGACAGCCAUUAGUUAGCCUGGGCUACACAGGCCAGCCUAAACUACACAGCAGAAACCCUGUCUCAAAAACACAAAACAAAGGGCUGGGAUUUAGCUCAGUGGUUCCAUGCCUGUGUUGCAAAGCGCAAGGUCCGGAGUUCAAUCCCUGGUACCAAAAAAACAAACCAAAAAACCCCAAAAAGCCAAGUUGAAUGUAGCAGAUGAAAAAAAAAUUUUUUUUCCAGUACCGGGGAUCGAACUCGGGACCUUGUGCUUUCGAGGCAGGCUUG
ensembl:lncRNA